rnacentral:lncRNA from 1 species
AGAAACGAAGUGGUUUUUACACCAAUUACAAUUCAGCUCCCAUACGAAGAAUCAUACAACUUAGCUACCGACCUGAAUCCUCAAUUGAAAUCCCCACUUAAUUCUAACUCCCUUCUCAAUACGAAUUUCAUUCAACUCGUAUUCAUAAUCAUUUCCUGAAUCUGUACCAAUUCAUAGUACAACUGACACUCAACAAUCUUGUUGUAAACUUCUCAAUCAUUCGCUUGAUCCUUCUCCAUACUAUAACCUUAUCCGAUCACGGAGUGAUCUCAUCGUAUAUAUUACGAUUCCUUUCUAUGUCUUGAUCAUUUUGUUUUACGAUCUCCUAUAUCUGUACUUUUAGUCUUUUAGACUCUAUCUAUUCAUUUCCCAAAUAAUAGGCUCAAUAGAACUGAAUAAUAUGUUCUAUUAACACUACAACAUUUGCAAAAUAAUAGGCUCAAUAGAACUGAAUGAUAUGUUCUAUUAACAUUUCAACAUUUGCCAACUCAUAGGCUCAAUAGAACUGAAUAAUUUGUUCUAUUAACAUUCUUAAAUAAACUACUGAGGGUCAAAUGACCAUGAACCAUGUCCACAGUUAUAAGUAAUCUUUCAACUUUAACUUUACCAGUCAUAUGACUAUAAGGACUCCACGUACUUAGGGGGGUCAAUCUUUCGUACAAUGUAUAGUGCACAACCAUUUCAACGCUAAGCGUAAACCCCUAAACAUAGGGUUGUUCGUCUCAGUAUUUAGAGUACAAGUCCGCACCAAAGAAAGUUUGGUUUGGAUAAGCUUUCAAGGGUAAUUAAAGUUUAAUGAUCAUCAAUUAGGGAACUAGUUGAAUCCACAAUGCUUGAUAAUACACCAGUUGUUUAAUAACAACAUAACUUAGAACAUUUGAGAAUCAUAAAUGAACUGAUUCUACAUAUCUAACUCGUGCUUGAAAUAACUAUAGAGCAUAAGUAUUCAAUAGAAUGAAUAAAAUGGUUAACCUUUGCUUGAA